CCUACGGGGGCUGCAGUGGGGAAUAUUGGACAAUGGGCGAAAGCCUGAUCCAGCCAUGCCGCGUGUGUGAAGAAGGCCUUCGGGUUGUAAAGCACUUUCAGUGGGGAAGAAAGCCUUGGGGCUAAUACCCUCGAGGAAGGACAUCACCCACAGAAGAAGCACCGGCUAACUCCGUGCCAGCAGCCGCGGUAAUACGGAGGGUGCGAGCGUUAAUCGGAAUUACUGGGCGUAAAGCGCGCGUAGGCGGUCUGAUAAGCCGGUUGUGAAAGCCCCGGGCUCAACCUGGGAACGGCAUCCGGAACUGUCAGGCUAGAGUGCAGGAGAGGAAGGUAGAAUUCCCGGUGUAGCGGUGAAAUGCGUAGAGACCGGGAGGAAUACCAGUGGCGAAGGCGGCCUUCUGGACUGACACUGACGCUGAGGUGCGAAAGCGUGGGUAGCAAACAGGAUUAGAUACCCUAGUAGUC
rnacentral:rRNA from 1 species